AACACGUAAAACUGGCACACCCCCUGCAUUACAAAACCCGACAGAUCACAUAAACACUGCCUUCAACGUGGAGGGCGGUGUUUCCCGACAGAACGGGAAUGGACAAAGGCGUCCUCGCUGGGUAACCGGCGGGACGCC
rnacentral:sRNA from 1 species